rnacentral:rRNA from 1 species
GAUGAACGCUAGCGGCAGGCUUAAUACAUGCAAGUCGAGGGGCAGCGCAGUGUAGCAAUACAUGGGCGGCGACCGGCAAACGGGUGCGGAACACGUACGCAACCUUCCUUCAAAUGGGGCAUAGCCUUUCGAAAGAGAGAUUAAUACCCCGUAACAUUUUCUGGUGGCAUCACUGGAUUAUUAUAGCUCCGGCGUUUGAAGAUGGGCGUGCGGCUGAUUAGGUAGUUGGCGGAGUAACAGCCCACCAAGCCAACGAUCAGUAACUGGUGUGAGAGCACGACCAGUCACACGGGCACUGAGACACGGGCCCGACUCCUACGGGAGGCAGCAGUAAGGAAUAUUGGUCAAUGGACGCAAGUCUGAACCAGCCAUGCCGCGUGGAGGAUGAAGGUCCUCUGGAUUGUAAACUUCUUUUAUCGGAGAAGAAACCCUAGCAUUCCUGCUGGGUUGACGGUACCCGAUGAAUAAGCACCGGCUAACUCCGUGCCAGCAGCCGCAGUAA